rnacentral:rRNA from 1 species
UCGUAGUCUUAACUAUAAAUGAUGCAGGCCAGAGAUAGGAUACUGUCCAUCUCGACUCUUCCUGGAUCUUGGAGAAAUCAGAGUCUUUGGGUUCUGGGGGGAGUAUGGUCGCAAGGCUGAAACUUAAAGGAAUUGACGGAAGGGCACACAAAGAGUGGAACCUGCGGCUUGAAACUCGAAUUAGGCCGUAAAAGCGGGGUCCCCCCCGCUAGUCCGGACCCCUUCCGGGGGUCGGGGCGACAUCACCAAAUUGCAGGAAAGCCCUAAAAACCCCGGUACUCCCCAGUAUUCGAAAGGAUUCUGGCAUAGUAACGACCCGGGGCGCUGAAAAUGGGCAACCCGCAGCCAAGGCCUAACCCCGACCCUCCCGAGGGUCGGGCAUGGCCAGGGUUCACAGACUAAACGGUGGUGGGUCGAGGUCACGAAAAUUUUUUUUUCGAUUUUUUGGACCGGUAAUCCGGGACCAGAAUCGCUACAAAAUUUUUUUUUAGGUCGGGCAAAUUUUUUUUUCGAUUUUUCGAUUUUGAUUUUUAGGGGGUCGGGAGGGUCUAACCCUAGACCGACUUGGACCGGGAUUUCUCGGUCCAACCCCUAACCCUAGCUAACCCUAGAGGGGGUCACCUACCCAGGUGGGGGGGGGUCGGGAGGGUUUAACCCUAGAUCGACUUGGACCGGGAUUUCCCGGUCCAACCCCUAACCCUAGCCAACCCUAGGGGGGUACCCAAACUYGAACCCUUUUGGGUCGGGGGGGGGGUCGGGAGGUCGAACCCUARACCGACUUGGACCGGGAUUUCCCGGUCCAAACCCUAACCCUAGCUAACCCUAGGGGGUCCCCAAACCCUAACCCUUUCGGGUCGAGGGGGGGGUCGGGAGGGUCUAACCCUAGGUCGACCUGGACCGGGUUUUCCCGGUCCAAAAAUCAAAAAAAAAUUUUUGCUCAGCCAGGUCGGAAACCUCGGUCUAAGAGAUAGUCGGGCCCCACCUGAGAAGGGUAGGGGGGUAAACCGUAAUUUGACUCAACACGGGAAAACUCACCAGGUCCAGAUACACGCAUGAAAGUCAAGCUGAAAGACUUUACUCAAUGAUGUAAGUGGUGGUGCAUGGUCGUUCGUAGUUCGUGGAUUGAUUUGUCUGGUCUAUUCCGAUAACGAGCGAGACCCCAACGUUCCUAAUAGGGGGAGCAGCCCGGGCGGCCGAAAGGUCGUCUAGCAGCUCCCUGAGACUAGCUUCUUAGACGUAUCAGAGCCGAUAAGGUUCUUGAAAUGGGUUAAUAACAGGUCAGUCAUGCCCUUAGAUGUUCUGGGCCGCACGCGCGUUACAAUGGCAUGUAAAACAAGUGCUGCAAAAGGUGUCCCCGGGGCUGAAAAGCCCUGGUAACCCCUAGUCCCUGCCUUGACUGGGACAGAUCAUUGCAAUUAUUGGUCUCAAACGAGGAAUUUUUAGUAAUCGCCGGUCAUUAACCGGCGAUGAAU